GCGCACGGGUGAGUAACGCGUGGGAACCUGCCUUUUUCUGCGGGACAACGGUUGGAAACGACCGCUAAUACCGCAUACGCCCUACGGGGGAAAGGUCCGCCGGAGAAAGAGGGGCCCGCGUUUGAUUAGCUUGUUGGUGGGGUAAUGGCCUACCAAGGCGACGAUCAAUAGCUGGUCUGAGAGGAUGAUCAGCCACACUGGGACUGAGACACGGCCCAGACUCCUACGGGAGGCAGCAGUGGGGAAUAUUGGACAAUGGGGGCAACCCUGAUCCAGCAAUGCCGCGUGUGUGAUGAAGGCCCUAGGGUUGUAAAGCACUUUCACUGGUGAAGAUGAUGACGGUAACCAGAGAAGAAGCCCCGGCUAACUUCGUGCCAGCAGCCGCGGUAAUACGAAGGGGGCGAGCGUNGUUCGGAAUUACUGGGCGUAAAGGGCGCGUAGGCGGCUCUUUAAGUUAGGCGUGAAAGCC
rnacentral:rRNA from 1 species